AGAGUUUGAUCCUGGCUCAGGAUGAACGCUAGCUACAGGCUUAACACAUGCAAGUCGAGGGGCAGCAUCAUCAAAGCUUGCUUUGAUGGAUGGCGACCGGCGCACGGGUGAGUAACACGUAUCCAACCUGCCGACAACACUGGGAUAGCCUUUCGAAAGAAAGAUUAAUACCGGAUGGUAUAGUUUUCCCGCAUGGGGGUGACUAUUAAAGAAUUUCGGUUGUCGAUGGGGAUGCGUUCCAUUAGGCAGUUGGCGGGGUAACGGCCCACCAAACCAACGAUGGAUAGGGGUUCUGAGAGGAAGGUCCCCCACAUUGGAACUGAGACACGGUCCAAACUCCUACGGGAGGCAGCAGUGAGGAAUAUUGGUCAAUGGACGAGAGUCUGAACCAGCCAAGUAGCGUGAAGGAUGACUGCCCUAUGGGUUGUAAACUUCUUUUAUACGGGAAUAAAGUUAGCCACGUGUGGCUUUUUGUAUGUACCGUAUGAAUAAGGAUCGGCUAACUCCGUGCCAGCAGCCGCGGUAAUACGGAGGAUCCGAGCGUUAUCCGGAUUUAUUGGGUUUAAAGGGAGCGUAGGCGGGUUGUUAAGUCAGUUGUGAAAGUUUGCGGCUCAACCGUAAAAUUGCAGUUGAUACUGGAUGUCUUGAGUGCAGUUGAGGCAGGCGGAAUUCGUGGUGUAGCGGUGAAAUGCUUAGAUAUCACGAAGAACUCCGAUUGCGAAGGCAGCCUGCUAAGCUGCAACUGACAUUGAGGCUCGAAAGUGUGGGUAUCAAACAGGAUUAGAUACCCUGGUAGUCCACACGGUAAACGAU
rnacentral:rRNA from 1 species